UACGUAGGGUGCAAGCGUUGUCCGGAUUUAUUGGGCGUAAAGAGCUCGUAGGCGGUUUGUCGCGUCGGAUGUGAAAACCUAUGGCUUAACCAUGGGCCUGCAUUCGAUACGGGCAGACUAGAGUUCGGUAGGGGAGACUGGAACUCCUGGUGUAGCGGUGAAAUGCGCAGAUAUCAGGAAGAACACCGGUGGCGAAGGCGGGUCUCUGGGCCGAUACUGACGCUGAGGAGCGAAAGCGUGGGGAGCAAACAGGAUUAGAUACCCUGGUAGUCCACGCCGUAAACGUUGGGCGCUAGGUGUGGGGAACCUUCCACGUUCUCCGUGCCGUAGCUAACGCAUUAAGCGCCCCGCCUGGGGAGUACGGCCGCAAGGCUAAA
rnacentral:rRNA from 1 species